rnacentral:lncRNA from 1 species
UCCUUCCCACUAUUCAAAUCCAGCCUAUAAGCAUAUUAUAACUUUCCCACAGAGCUUUUUAUUUUUAAUGGACUAACAUAUAAAUCUGGAAAUUUCAUAUAAAUUUGGGGUAUCUAGCUUUUUAUUGAAGUAUAGUUAAUUUACAGAGUUAUAUUAGUUUCAAGUGUACAGCAAAGUGCUGGAUUUAGAGCUUUUUUAAAACAGCAGUGACGAACCCAGUUAUACUCAGAUAACAUUCUUGCCUUCUGUAUUUACUUAUUCCACAAAUAGUUCUUGAGCACGUGCAUUUUGCAGAUAAUCUAUUUAGGUGAUAGGCAUAGGUCAGUGGGGAAAACAGUUGCAAACAAAAGUCCUUGUCCUCAUGGAGCUUCCAUUCUUGUGGACGUUUAUCUAGAGCAGAAUAGUAGCUUCCCAUGUAGAUAGGUCAGGUUUUUUUCCAUCUCACAAUAGCAUUUAUCCUUCUGUUUUUUUGGAGUUUCUGUCACUAAUUUAUUUCUACACUCCUACUUCCUAGCAUCUCAGUUUUUAAACUCACCUCUAAAGAGACAUAUGAUACGAGUUUCUGCAUAGAAGAGUCCAGCUAUAAAGGGAAAGCCAACACAGUAACGGAGGAACAUAUUUGGAGCUGGAGGGCAAAGGUUCAAAUCUUGGCUCUGAUUUUUAUAUGCUUUGUAAUCUUAGGCACAUUGUUUAUGCCUAUACCUCAAUUUCCCCAUCUGUUACAUUAGGAUGAUAAUAGUCCCUGAGUCAUGACAUAUAGCGUUAAUGCUUGAACAUGCUUAGGAAAGAGGCUGGCACGUGGAGAAUGCUACUAAAAAAAGACUUUUAAAAUUGCAUCUUUCUGUCUUUUUCUGGUAAGGUCAAGAAAAACAGAAACAAGAUACAAAGCCAAAUUUUCAUGUAGAAUUAUUGACUGAAAAAGUAACCUUCCUCGGAAUCCUAGAUAUAUGCUGUGAUCCAAAUAUGUCAUCACUAUGGAACACCCAGAAUGCUUCUUAAACACGUAAUGCCUGGUCUUCUCCCCAGUAGAUUCAUCAUAUUUGCAAACUGCUCUUGAUGAUUAACUAAAGAAUUUUGUCAUUAUUAGUAAAUUUAUUAGUUGUUUUCAUGACCUAGUUUUCACAUAGGACUUAUAUGCAACAUUAACUGAAAAAUGCACUCUGAUGCAUUCCAGCUGGCAUACACUACAUUAAAUGAGGCCAUUUGCUUUAGUAAACAAACAAACAAAAUAAAUAAAAAGUGUUUCUUUUCUCCCAAAUAUAUCCCUACUUCUCUAUUUGGUAAAUAGUCCAAAUCCUCCUCAUGUCAAAUUCAACUCAACUAAAAAGCAUUAACUUUGUCAGACACACUACUAGGUGUCUUAAAUAUGUCACUGCAGUUAAACGUUAUGGGAUCUUUGGGUAUAGUUAUUAUUAUCUCCAUUAUCAUCUCAGAUGAGGACACAGAAGCUCAAGGUAGUGAAGUUGACACAGCCCCUGGUAGCAAUGUCAAGCUCUGAACCUGGUUCCCUAAGUCUGCAUCCUGUGUCCAUCAGGGUUGUUUUGGAGAGCUGUUGUCAGAAUGUACCUGGACCAGCUGCAUCAGCUGCAUCAGCAUCACCUGGACCCUUGAUAUAAGUGCUGAUUCUUACACUCCACCACAGAUCUCAACAGCCCUGGUGCCAGGGCCCAGCACCUUGUGUUUCAGUAAGCCCUUUGGGUGGUCCAGAUGCCCACUCAAGUUUGAGUCUUCAGCUCAUCUCUGCUGACCAUCCUACCUCAGUUUUUCUCCCACCCUCUAAAUACCUUGCUUAGCCUGGCCAAGCGGUUUCUUCAUGAGCAGAAUUUUCAUCACAUCCUUUCUGCUCAGAAACAUGGAGUCAGUCUCCAUCCCCUGCUUUGUGAAGGACAAAUUGCUAACAAUUCAGGGUUCCCAUGCUUCUACCCUAAUUUGCUGCUGUCUAAUAUCUUUCUGCCCUUCAGGCCACUCAAACCAGCCUUCUCUGAGGAGUGGGGGGAAGGAUGGAUUGGGAGUUUGUGAUUAGCAGAUGCAAACUAUUAGAUAUAGAGUGGAUAAACAAUAAGGUCCUACUGUUUAGUACAGGGAACUAUAUUCAAUAUCUUGUAAUAAGCAAUAAUGGAAAAGAAUAAAUAAAUAAAUAAAAUUUGUAAAGAAAAAUCAGCCUGCUCACUUUGACUAAAUGUCUAUGUCUGACCAAGGACCACCAGUCUUCCUACUUUGCCUCCCUUCCUCUUCCUUGGCAAUGCUCACCACACUUUGAGUCUCCAUGGCUGAAACACCUGUCCCAGCCUUGGCUCACUGUGGAAUUCUAGAGGCACACUCUUUCAUGCCGGCCCUUAUAAAAAUUACAGCAGAUCCACUUUUGUUGUCGCUUGGCUGUCACUUAGCUGAACAAGAGCAGUCCUUUUAAUCUGUGCAGUUAUGGCUGAUAGAUCAUCCUUGAUGAAUUUAAAAAUCCAGUCUCAUAAAAAAGAAACCUCAUGUAUUAAACUUUUAAACUUAAAACACUUUAUAACUUAAUAUUAAACUUGAUAACUUAAAAAUAUAUCUUUAAUUUGUCAACCUUAUGAUACAGGGCCACGGCAUCCUCUGCCUCUGGGCCUGCUCAUCAGAGUUCUGCAGUGUCAUUUUGCAUAAAUUAUACCCAUUAAGAAGCAGCCAUGAUUUUUCAGUUUCUACAAAGUGGAGCAAGAACUUAAAGACUUGCAGAGCAAUCUCAGAAGAGAAUCCAUCUAAAUUUUAAUGAUCUUUCCCAAUCUUAUACAUUUGUCUAACUCACACCUAAUUUAACAGCAAUUACUUUUUAGCAAAUCGCCUUCAUCAAAUCUCUCCAAAGCACUCAACUUCGUUUUCAUAGACACAACAUCCUGCUCUCUUCUAACACUAAUAUUUCACCAGUUUACAUAAUGUUUAAUGAAACUAAGCAAUUAUAGUAACAGAUGCAACUGGUUUAAAUAGAAACGGGGACAAAUACACCUGGUUCUUGGAAAGCAGCCAGCUCAAAGGAAAGAAGCAGAAUUCUGUGGGUAUCUUAGCAUCAUACUCGCAGGUGGGAACAACUCCAUCCAUUUAUGAAUAUCUGAGGGCAUGGAGAGUAUAGAUUUGUCCAGCAGGUCAUAAAAGUGGAAGCGGGUUAACAGAGGCAAGUGGCUAGCAAAGUAGAAUCAGAAAAUUGCAGAGAUGUGAGGAAGACUUCCAAAAGCUUAUAUAAUUCGUUUUUCCAUCAACAAUUUUCUUAGCAAAAUCCAUGGCAAGUCUUUUUUCAGCUACAUCAAGUAUACCCUCAAAGACGGUGUGUUCAUUACCUAACCAAACAGCCCAUUUCAUACCUGGACAAUCGAAUGGUUAAAGCAUGCUCUAGAAUAUUCAGGAUUUCCCCUUUUGUCAUGGCCCUAAAUUCAAACCUCCUUGUUUUCAUCAAGUACUCCUGCCAUGGAGUGGUUGCCAGGACCAUCCUCCUCUUGUUCUUUCUCCUUUGGACACAUUCUAGUUUGAGAUUAUUAAUUUUCCCCGUCAAGGACCUUGCCCAGAAGUGAAACCACUUGGCUCAGAACUGAUCAACAAGAGCAGAAGGCAGAAGAAUGGGAGGACACUCUGCCUAUAUUCAUGUGGUUUCUGACUGCAUUCACCUACAUUUUCAAAAUAAUUGCAUAGGCUUAUAGUUUACCUAUGGCCACCACAAUGGUCCAAAUUUCUUCCUGAAUUGUAGUAGAAUUACUUUUUUUUUUCCUGCUCACUUUUCUUAUUUCUUCUCUGCCACUGAUUUUCAACCAAAAUUUUGUUUGUGUCAGUUCAUCUGAGUUUGGUGUACACUAUUCCUAUGACAAUAAUAACAGCUGAUUGAUUGAGUGGUUACCACGAACUAGGACCAGUUCUAAGCAGUGUUUAUGGAUCAUUUAAUUCUUAUAACCACUUAGUGAGGUAAAUACUCUUUAACAUACCCAUUUCUCAGCCAAGAAAAUGGAAGCAAAGUGGAUUUAAGUCUAUUACUAAGGAUUAUUCAUAUAGCAACUGGUAGAUGAGAGAUACAAACCUAGGAAAGAUGGUGCCAAGUAUUGGGCUCUUAACCACUACCAUCUAUCAUCUUUUAAUUUUUGAGUCCUCUCUCCUUUUACACAGGACUGUAUCAUUUAUAGAAUCAACACUUGACAAGUUGUCAAGUCCCUUUAAGUGCCUCAGCUAAAAAAUUGAUAUACAUUUCCAAACAUACCUUUGUGGCUACUCUAUUUUGCCCAUUUCCUGUUGGCUUUUCCAGAGGAGGAUGUACCUGGGAUGCACUAUAAGGCACAUCUGUGUUGAACUGUGUGCUCAGGUGGGGAGAGAGCCUCAUAGAGCACGAAGGCAAUGUGCUCUGGGUCUGAGAGAUUAGGGUGCUGGUCUGGUACCUUCCUAGCUCAGCUUCUUACUUUGCUUAUCUCAACCCCCUUCAUUUGUAGAAUACAGGCAAUGAUAUUAACCUCACUGUGCUUCUGUGAGGAUCACGUGCAAUCACAUUGGUAACACUCUGAAUUAAGAACAAGCAUUCCAGGUGAGGAGAGAAAAUACUGUCACAAAGCCCCAAGAAAUAUGGAGGGAUGCAUGGUACUUACUUGAAAAAAGAGGGUGAGAGCUGUGACAUGGUGACAAGGCAGUUCUCUGGAGAAGAAAGAGAGCUUGCUCUGCAGAGGAGAAUGGGGCCAUGGAACUGGCUUCACCUGGGCAGCUGGACCCACCAGCGUGGGCUUGCUCCUCUUCUCAAAUCAGCCUGCUUUUACAGAGGGGAGAAAGGAACACGUGUGUGCCUCAGAGGAAUAAUUAAUCAUCUUGGCAAUUACUCUACUCUCAAAUCAGCUUCCUACUGAGCUCCCUGACACCACCUCUCUCAAUUUCCUGGGACCAGCAGUUCCACUUCCCUUCUCCUGGUGGCCACCAACUAGGGAAGCAAAUUAAGGUGAUCUUGCCAUAUAGCCUGUUGAAACAGAUUUUAGUCAAAGAAAAUGACAAUAUUAAUAAGUAACUGAUUUUUCACUAAUGACAAACACCUCCUGCCAAGAACCUGGUUUGUGUCCAAUAAUGUCAUCAGAUUAUUUUUACAUAUAAGUAUUUUUCUCCUAGAGAUUCCAGGGGUGGAUUUCUGUCUUUGUGCCCUUUAUAGCAAUUGGAUGCAAGUGUAAAAAACAACUAACAUCUUCCGUUUCUGCAGCUACUUCACAUAGAUAUCAUGGAAGCAUCCUGAAACUUCUGAGUUUCCUAGAACUAAGCAAAAUAAGUACUGGAAAUUUGCAUACCACCUCAUAAUUUGCCUCCAGCCAUCUCUCCCAAGGCCACAUACUCUGCCCCCAGGAAGAGGGGAUGGUGAGCAUUUUAGUCUUCCCAGCAGGAAUGACCCUGAUUGCAUUCUGACUUCUUAGUUUCCACGUGGUUCCUGUGGCUAUCAUUGUCAUCCCUUGCAUAUGAGGACAGAGUUGAAUUGUUCUAUUUAUGCUCAUAGUCUUCUUUUCAGACACUGCUUAGUACUUACAUUUUAACUCCUUUCAUGCCUCCAAGAUGACUCAGGUCAGCAUCAGCCUCCCUCUAAUUCUAAUCUUGGCAUUUUCUGCAAUUGGGAUAUCUCCUUGACCUCCCUGGAGUACCUGCUGCUGGUGGCUGCCCACCUUAAUUUAUUGUCUACUUCGGCAUAUUUAUUUGAAAUAUUGUUGCUGUUUCCCUUCGAGUGAUUAACAGAUAUACCAUAGGAAAGAUUCUUCAUCAGUUGGUGCUUUUAUGUUUAUUUUGCUCCAGCUCUUUUUUUUUUUUUUUUUUCUUUCACUUAUAUUGAAAUAGUAGGAAGGAAAAGUGAUCAGUCUUUACGUUAGUAACAGCAAAUUUCAGCCUUCUGGUUUGUCUUAUGGCCAGUAAAGUAGUUUGCUAGAGUUCCCAUUGUGGCUCAUUAGGUUAAGAACCCAACAUAGUGUCCGUGAGGAUGUGGGUUCAAUCCCUGGCCUUGUUCAGUGGGUUAAGGAUCCAGCAUUGCUGCAAGCUGUGGCAUAGGUUGAAGAUGCAGCUCAGAUCCAGUGUUGCCAUGGCUGUGGCGUAGGCUGGCAGCUGCAGCUCCUAUUCAACCCCUAGCCCAGACAUUUCCAUAUGCCUCAGGUGUGGCCAUUAAGAAAGAAAGAAAGAAAGAAAGAAAACAAAAAGAAGUUUGCUAAAUUGUUUUUUAGAACUAAAUUAGAACUUCAUUAGUCUGGCAGAAUCAACAAAAAUGUUAAUAUGAGGUGACCCUUUGCUGAAAUUCUCAGUAUAGGUUUGAGUCAGGGUAGACCUAUUGCUGUUGUUUAUAAAUACAGUAUUGGUGCUUAUGUGUUCAACAUUCAACAUUUUCCAAAGCACAUUUACAACUAUAAAUUGUCUUGUUUUUAUGCCCAAAGUCAGCAUAUAUCUUAAUAAGGAGGGACUCCUGGGACGGCCGAGUUAGAGAAAAUGAUUGACCUAAAAUGAGAAGUUCUGAGUUCCAAUCAUGGUUUGGCACAAUGGCUGUGAAAUUUUACCUAUUUGGGUUUUGGUUUCAUGUGUAAAUGAGAGGAUUCAAGUUCUCUCAAGCUACAUUCGGCUCUUGAGAGAAGAGAAAGACAUUCUCUGCUUGCUUGCAGUCCUGUAACCAAGGAUUGGCAGAGUCCCUUCAGGAUGCUGGUGUCCUCACUCCUGGUACCCACCUUUACUAUAGCAAAAUAAUGCUAAGAUCAAAGCAAAGUGUACCAGCACCAUGCAGAGGUACUGAAGGUGUUUGAGGAUGACAGGUUUCAAAACUGUCAGAGCAGGAGUUCCCACUGUGGUGCAGCUGGUUAAGGAUCCAACAUUGUCUCUGCAGCAGCUCAGGUCGCUACUGAGGCAAGCGUUCCAUCCCUGACCCAGUGGGUUAAGGAUCCGGCAUUGCUGCCACUGUGGCGUAGGUCACAGCUGUGACUCAGAUUAGAUCUCUGGCCCAGGAACUUCUA